GGAAAAGAAAUUAAGCAAACUCUUCUCAUUUGGAGCUGCAUAUAAUAGCAGAAAGAUCAUGAUCUCAUAACUGUUACUUGGAUGUCUUGAUAACAUUAUUUUGUUCUCUUAAUCCCAAUUUAGUCCCAUUUGUCUCGUAAAUUAAACUGAAAUCUCAUUCUCAAGGAACUUUUAGAGUUAGUGAAACUGUACUAUUUUGCAACUGAAUGCAUUCAUGCAUAUUUAUAACGUACUGGAAUUUGCUCUUUCUUUGCAGAAAGUGGUGGCUCUGACGCCAAAAGUGCGGCCAGCGAGGGAUGUUGGCCAAGAGUGCUCCUGUCCUCCAGAUUAGAAAUGUCCAUCCAAUCCAAGACUGGAUUCGCC
rnacentral:lncRNA from 1 species